CUACCAUAUUUAACAAAUUAGGCUUAUCGCCGAGAUACCUGUACUUGAAACUUCCACAGUUCAUCGGAAUAUUUACUAUGUUUCUUUACUACUAGACUAAAAAUGUAUUGUGAUAUGUUCCAAGUCCUCGAGUAGUGACAUAUCGAUGAUGAUGGGAUUUCCUUAACUCCAAUAUGAUGCAGAAAAAAGCCGCAAACUCCGUGAUUACAUUGUUGAGUGUAGUGCCUCAUCAUUGGUUGAAAAGCUUGGUGGUAUCUUAUCAUUUUGGACUAUCCGGUUUUAGUGUAAGUAGGUAGGUAGAAAUGUAGAUAGUUGAAUAGAUCUGCAACUAAUUAAAGGGGCAGAUAGAAAGUCAAAUAUUAGAUCGAUAUAAAGAUAUGUGAACAGACUAAAGCAGCAAUGAGAGGCAGGGCAAAAUAGUCAGAAACGUACAAACUGCAGGUUCACCACCCAAUUUGUACUAUCAAAGUCUCAACCUGCAUUGCUUUA